UCAACUACCCUGGUGGAUCGCCAUAACCUCGGGAAACUGAGGCUAAUAGCGAAUAUCGCUUCCGAGCUGGAACAGCUGGGAGCGUGAAACGCUCCGGUGCCACAGGAUGUGACUGCGGCCGAUUAGGUAGAUGGUGGGGUAACGGCCCACCAUGCCGAUAAUCGGUACGGGUUGUGAGAGCAAGAGCCCGGAGACGGACUCUGAGACAAGAGUCCGGGCCCUACGGGGCGCAGCAGGCGCGAAACCUUUACACUGCGCGACAGCGCGAUAGGGGGACACCGAGUGCGAGGGCAUAGAGCCCUCGCUUUUGUGUACCGUAAGGUGGUACACGAAUAAGGGCUGGGCAAGACCGGUGCCAGCCGCCGCGGUAACACCGGCAGCCCGAGUGAUGGCCGCUAUUAUUGGGCCUAAAGCGUCCGUAGCCGGCCGUUCAGGUCCGUCGGGAAAUCCACUGGCUCAACCAGUGGGCGUCCGGCGGAAACCGUUCGGCUUGGGACAGGAAGACCAGAGGGGUACGUCCGGGGUAGGAGUGAAAUCCCGUAAUCCUGGACGGACCAUCGGUGGCGAAAGCGCCUCUGGAGGACUGAUCCGACGGUGAGGGACGAAAGCUGGGGUCUCGAACCGGAUUAGAUACCCGGGUAGUCCCAGCCGUAAACGAUGCUCGCUAGGUGUGGCGCAGGCUA
rnacentral:rRNA from 1 species